AAAGAAUUAGUUAAAACAUAACAUAAAUAUGUCAAAUUUAAAUUAUUAAUACUUAAUAUUCUUUU
rnacentral:tRNA from 1 species